AGAACAGAUUUUCUGAUACCGACAGUAUCAAACAGGCGUUGCAAUUUCCAUAAAAGUCCGUGAGGAGGAGCAUCAGCACUGGUUGCGAGGAGCUUUCCGAUAGUUUUUUUUGGUCACUGUUGAGUGCCGGCAUUUGCAGUCUCGGGUUCCAAACAAUGGAUAAUUUGACACUCAAAGGGACAGUUGACGGGGAGGCCCCCAAUAACCCAUCAACACCAAGGACCUCUAAAGGAAGCUGAGCCAAACGGUACAGUUGGAAUCUUUCUCUGCAGUUCAUGCAAUCCUGCAUUUGAAGAUGUGCUAUCUAUAGUAAUGAUAGCCACACAUUCCAUUCCUAGUUUUUUUUUUUUUAUUUUUUUGCCGGAGUGGAAUAUGCAAGGACCUUUCUCUGUUGGGCAAGGGUCGUCUCAUCAAAUUAAAGGCAUGCUGGCUUGCUUAUCGAUGUGGUAAUGAACAUGAGCUGAAGCUUUGGCAAGACAACAGUAAAGUGAAAGCAUUAAAAAAAGUUGAAACCUUUGAGUAGCUCCAAUGCUUCCGCAUACCUUUCUGCUGACAAGUCUUCUUAUUUUAUAUUUUGGGCCUUGUGUCUGUGUGCCUGCAGAGGUGGUGCCUCAAGGAAGACUGCCUUCUUAUUCUUUAUUUAUAUUUUAUGAAGACUUAAGUUUAAUGUCCUAUAUAUUGUCCCUAAAAUGAUCUCUUUGAAGUUUGAACUGUCCAA